rnacentral:tRNA from 1 species
GCCGGGGUGGUGGAAUUGGUAGACACGUGGGACUUAAAAUCCCAUGAAAAUUAAUUUUCGUGCCGGUUCAAUUCCGGCCCUCGGCACCA